GGUAGUCCACGCCCUAAACGAUGAGCAUUAGAUAUUAGGCGUAUGCUUAGUGUCGCCGCUAACGCUUUAAAUGCUCCGCCUGAGUACUACGGCCGCAAGGUUAAAACUCAAAGGAAUUGACGGGGACCCGCACAAGCGGUGGAGCAUGUGGUUUAAUUCGAUACGACGCGCAGAACCUUACCAAGGUUUGACAUGGAGGGCAAUGUUGGAGAAACUCAACGGAGGUUAUCCCAACACAGGUGGUGCAUGGUCAUCGUCAGUUCGUGCUGUGAAGCGUACGCUUAAG
rnacentral:rRNA from 1 species